UCAAAUGACUUUUGAACUUAGUGGCGGACGGGUGAGUAACGCGUGAGCAACCUGCCUUUCAGAGGGGGACAACAGCUGGAAACGGCUGCUAAUACCGCAUAACACAUCGGGGUGGCAUCACCCUGGUGUCAAAGGAGCAAUCCGCUGAGAGAUGGGCUCACGUCUGAUUAGCUGGUUGGUGAGGUAACGGCUCACCAAGGCGACGAUCAGUAGCCGGCCUGAGAGGGUGAACGGCCACAUUGGGACUGAGACACGGCCCAAACUCC
rnacentral:rRNA from 1 species